rnacentral:rRNA from 1 species
GACGAACGCUGGCGGCGUGCCUAAUACAUGCAAGUCGAACGCAGUGGGGACGGGUGAGUAACACGUGGGUAACCUCCCAUCAGAGGGGAUAACACUUGGAAACAGGUGCUAAACCGAUACUGAUGGAUGGACCCGCGGUGCAUUAGCUAGUUGGUGGGGUAACGGCUCACCAAGGCAAAGAGGCAUAGCGGACGUGUGAGUGUGACUGGCCACACUGGGACUGAGACACGGCCCAGACUCCUACGGGGGGCAGCAGUGGGGAAGCUUGGGCAAUGGACGAAAGUCUGACCGAGAAACCCCGCGUGAGUGAAGAAGGUUUUCGGAUCGUACAGCUCUGUUGUUAGAGAAGCGGUAUCUAACCAGAAAGCCACGGCUAACUACGUGCCAGCAGCCGCGGUAAUAC